GACGAACGCUGGCGGCGUGCUUAACACAUGCAAGUCGAACGGAAAGGCCCUGAUAUCGUGGGGUGCUCGAGUGGCGAACGGGUGAGUAACACGUGAGUAACCUGCUCUUCACUUUGGGAUAACUUCAGGAAAGUGGGGCUAAUACCGGAUAGGAGAUCCUGCUGCAGGGAGGGGGUUGGAAAUUUUCGGCGGUUGGGGCUGGACGAGCGGCUUAUCAGCUUGUUGGUGGGGGGGGGGCAGGCCAAGGAUUUGAAGGGUAGGCCGCUGGGGAGGGUGACCGGCCACCUUGGGCCUGAGGUACGCCCCAGACUCCUACGGUAGGCAGCAGUGGGGAACCUUGCACAAUGGGCCGACGCCUGAUGCAGCAGCCCCGCGUUCGUAAUGACGUCCUUCUGGUUGUAAACCGCUUUCGCCUGUGACGACGCGGUAGUGACGGUACUGAGUAAAGAAGCACCGGCUAACUACGUG
rnacentral:rRNA from 1 species